UGGCUGAUUUGAAACUCGCUUCUGGAGCAGCCUCCACAACAUCCACGUCCACUCUUUCCCUCACCACAGCUGUACGGGGCUUUUGCUCAGACAAACCACGUACCCCUGUGUGCGUGAAGCUGGUUACCUGUGACGCUGCCCGCUUGGUCGUUUCAUAACGGCAGGCAAUGUCGUAGGCUUGGGCUAGUGUGUGGGGCCGCUUCUCCAACAACUUCUGUACAAUCUGUGUAUCCCCAAUAGCAUGAGUGAAAACCUCUACACCUAUGGCAUCUUGCUCUUUUUCAGUCCUGUCACUGACAUAUAUGUCAUCCCGUAAGAGGUGGAGAGAUUCACCUGGUUUGCGGACACGCUGUCUCAACUCGACAGCCACUGCAGCGGCAUGUUCUGAGGAUGGACCAUAGGCAAUUUCGACUUCCUCCACCAGGCGGCCGUAAUCCCACUGAACUGACCGUGGGUUCCUGUGGACAAUGGCUCCUGCCGCACCCACCAGGCAGAAUUUUAACUGAAUGCCUUUGGUCUCUUCAGUCCAGCGGUUCGCCUUCGCGCAGCUCUCAAACCGGUGCAAGAAUUCCCUCCACGGUGUAGUGCCAUCAUACUGGCCGGGACGCAGGAUGGGUAUUCUUUCCCUGGAGUCAUACUCAUCCUCACUCUCCGAAGAAACUUGGUGGCGUUUGGAAUGGGGCCGGCGUGCAUGUGACUUAUGCUGCUCAUAGAUGGGGAGAGGGCACUGUGAUGGCAUUUCUACAUUAUUAACAUUCUUGAGUGAAUUGUCAUCAGUGCGGUGCGAAUGUGAGCCCAUGGGGCGUGGGGAAGGACAAGGGGACUGGAGUGCUAUGAAUGAAAGUCCCUUCGUGCUCGCCAGUGUUAACCUUUCCUGCCUGUCCGUCUCUGACCGUAGUUGGAGACUUCGUUCUCUGCUCCAGGGCCAAGUAUUGCCUGUUGCUAAUACUUGGGGUUUAUACCCUUCACUUUCCUUCCUCCUGCCGGUUAGUGAAUAAAACGCCCGCUGUAUGCUUUCUUUGAAGAUUUAUUGAACACUGAGUAACACGGUUACAGCACAUGGGUUUCUCCGGUCGCUACGUCCACACACAACAUUAACAAAAACUCUGCUCCUUCUCUCCCACUCGCUCACUCACUCAUCCCUGCUCCGUACGUGCUGCUCUUAAAGGGGCCGCACCAUUUUACAACAACGUGAUCAGUGACGUCCGAAGCUUCGUUCCGGCACAGUCACGUGACUGCUUCGAUUUGAUUCAAUGGGCUGGAAACAGGGUUCGGGAUUGUCAGUUUGAUACAGUCAAAGUCAGUGUUGUUGUUGUAGCAAAGAGCAAAUUUACAAUGGAACCUGUGGCAAAGAGAGGUCGCUCCGAGAUAUGGCAGCACUAUUGAUUUCCUCUAACACGGUUGGCAAUAGGCAGGCAAAGUCUGUCAUUUGUAUUGUGUAAUUAUGGAUGUUUAUUUUUAUUGUGGAGACCACCCGAUAUUUGGCUGAGCCAAACAUUCAUCGGAGUGAAGAUAUUGGGUCAAACACAAACAUGCGUACCCACAUCUAUUUGUAUUAGCACGUAAUCUUUUGAGCAUUCCUGCCUCAUCGUGCCGUGUGAGGGCGUUUUUUCUAAAGCUGGGGAAAAAGAAACCGACUCAACCCCAAUACUGUGGAGAAAAUUAUGUUUCUCAAUAAAAAUCAAUAAUAAUUUCUUGCCCCAUCCCAUGUGUCCACAAGCACCUCAAUAUCAUGUCAUAAGAAACCUGUCCAAAAGCACAAUCACUGCCCCACUGACCUUUCCUCUGCAAAUCACUUCCCACAUUCAAACAAUUCACAUAAGUCCCUAUGACUGCCAUGAACUGCACAUGCAGUAGGAAGCACUUGCUGGUUCUUCUGCUGGUAUGAUCACAAACAUACAUGCACAAAGGUGCAGAAAGACAUAGAGAAGUGCUUGUUCCACUUCUUUCCACUGGACAGAGAAUUGAAAUACACAAACAAGGACACAAUUCAAACCUGAAAAACAAGUUUUAUUCACAUAGCAAUCCAUGUAUUUAUUAGAUGAUUUAUUGGUUCAACUUUUCAUAAUCAGAGAUUGUGCCAAAUAUACUGGUAGACUAUUCAAUACAUUUGCACUACAAGUUUUCAACAGCAGAGGUCAUCAUAGAGUAGUGUUGUUACCUCCGACCCUCCAGCUUCGAAGCUUGUGUCGAAAUAUGAACCAGUGCAAAGGCGAAGCAAUUGUAUCGGUGCUCGGUUCGUUCGCUGCUGAUCACGUGAUCAGUGACGUCCGAAGCUUCAUUCCGGCGCACAGUCACGUGACCGCUUCGAAUUGAUUCAAAUGGGCGCGAAACAGGGUCGGGGCUUGUCUGUUUGAUACAGUCAAAGUCAGUGUUGUUGUAGUAGUAGUAGUACUACUUUUUGCUACUAGUAGUAGUACUACUACUACUACUACUACUACUACUACUAGUAGCAAAGCGCAAAUUUACAAUAGAACCUGUGGCAAAGAGAGGUCGCUCCGAGAUGUGGGAGCACUUCAAUUUGAUUUCCUCUAACAAGGUUUGUAAUAGGCAGGGAAAGUCUGUCAUUUGUAUUGUGUAAUUAUAGAUGUUUAUUUUUAUUUGGGUUUUGUAGUGGAACUAUACAUGUGCCUUUAUUUUAUUCGUGAAAAACAUCCUUUUUAAAAAUUCUGUUGUCAGGUCCAAUGUUUGGUUUGCCAUCAGCAAUUGGCCUAUAAUAACACCUCAUCCAUGCCAAGCAUGAGGCUGGUCAAGCUGCAACAAGCAUCCAUGGUGAUAGGAAGGCCAAGAUUGACGAGGCACUGGUGAACAUGAUUGUCAAGGAUUCGCAGCCCUUCAAGGUUGUGGAAGAUCAAGGCUUUAGGGCCUUGGUGUCUCUUUUGGACCCCACCUAUGUCCUUCCUUCAAGGCAGACCUUGAAAUCUAUGGUGGAGGCCAAGUAUCACGAGGAGAAGCAGAAGGCCAAAGAAAAGGUCCAGAAGGCUACUGCUGUGGCUUUGACCUCUGAUAUGUGGACAUCCAUCCACAUGGACUCGUACCUGGCCUUCACUUGCCAUUUUGUGGAUGAAGGGGACAGGUUGGCUACUGUUUUGCUGGCAGUUGCCAAGUUUGGGAAGAGGCACACGGCUUCAAAUAUUGCCUCUGUGAAAGGGUCCAUAAUGGAGGAAUGGGGAAUCUCCAAAUCCAAAGUUAUGUGCCUAACAACAGAUGGGGCCUCUAACAUGACCCUGUGUAGUACCAUGAUGGAGAUCAGGCACAGCCACUGCAUUGCACACGCAUUGAAUUUAGUUGUAAAGAAAUCAAUGAAAUGAACACCUGGUCUGGAGGAGGUCCGCACUAAGGCGAGGGAUAUUGCCACACACUUCAGAACCAGCACUGUGGCUAGAGAGCGCCUUCUCUGUCUUCAGAAGCAAAUGGGUGCUCCAUGUGCAAAACUCA
ensembl:lncRNA